rnacentral:rRNA from 1 species
GGAUUAGAUACCCUGGUAGUCCACGCUGUAAACGAUGAGAACUAGAUGCUGAGCCGAUUGAGGAGCAGUAUCGCAGCUAACGCGUUAAGUUCUCCGCCUGGGGAUUACGGUCGCAAGACUAAAACUCAAAGGAAUUGACGGGGGCCCGCACAAGCGGUGGAGCAUGUGGUUUAAUUCGAUGCAACGCGAAGAACCUUACCUGCCUUUGAAUCCUCGGAAUCUGACAGAGAUGUUGGAGUGCCUUCGGGAACCGAGAGACAGAUGCUGCAUGGCUGUCGUCAGCUCGUGCCG